GACGGACGCUGGCGGCGUGCUUAACACAUGCAAGUCGAGCGGUAAGGCCCUUUCGGGGGUACGACGAGCGGCGAACGGGUGAGUAACACGUGGGUGACCUGCCCUCAGCUCUGGGAUAAGCCUGGGAAACUGGGUCUAAUACUGGAUAUGACUCCACGGUGCAUGUCGUGGGGUGGAAAGCCUUGUGCGGCUGAGGAUGGGCCCGCGGCCUAUCAGCUUGUUGGUGGGGUGAGGCCUACCAAGGCGACGACGGGUAGCCGGCCUGAGAGGGCGACCGGCCACACUGGGACUGAGACACGGCCCAGACUCCUACGGGAGGCAGCGGUGGGGAAUCUUGCGCAAUGGGCGAAAGCCUGACGCAGCGACGCCGCGUGAGGGAUGACGG
rnacentral:rRNA from 1 species